ensembl:lncRNA
AAGGGAGGAGAGCUUCAGGGCUCAGUCCUGAGUCAGGGAGAAGAAAGGGCUUCAAGCAGAUGCACAAUGAGAUUUAUAGGAAUAUGGUGACAAGACCUAGAGUAGACAGCUACAAGACCAAAGGAUAUCACAUUCCCCCUGGGAUCUGGUCAGCACCAAGAAGUUUGCAACAACCAGCCACAUCCCCUACCCUUUCAGUAUAAAAGAAGCCUGAAUUCUAACUCAGGAGUGCUCUUGGGAGAAGAUGAGUGAGGGGAACCAGACAGGACAAGAGGAAUAAAGUUGAACAAGAAUUCGGGAGUGUUAUCUGGAGACUGUCCUCAGCCUAGUUCUCAGGGGAGCAUCGGAGCAUGACGGUACCACAGAACUGGCUCUCGUUUCAGCUCUUCAACCCUGUGUGUCUUCAGAUACCAUCCAGUGCUCCUGCCAAGGCCGCCAGUGACCUUCACAUUGAGAAAUCUGAUGGAUGUCUUUUCCUCUCAGCUGUGACCCUCUCAGCAGAUGUCACCUCUAGCCUUGAAAAUCUCUCCUGUGGCCUCAGUGACAGCUGCUCUCCGGGGUUCCCUUCUGCUUCCUAAACCUGUUCCUUUCGGACAUCCUCAUGGUUCUCCCUCUCAGAGCGUUUGUGUUCCCGAGUCCUGAGCUGGUCUCCUCUGUCUCUCUGCGUACCUCUCCUGGGACAGUUCCUGCACUUGUGUGGCUUUGGUUACCAUCUGCACUCAGAUUACUUCUAAACAGCUUUCCUGGGAAUUCCUACGUGGUCCAGUGGUUAAGACUCUGCGGCUCACUGCCAAGGCAAAGUUCAAUCGCUGGUCCCCACAGGCCAUGCGCUGUGGCUAAAUAAAUAAAUUAAAUGAACAGCUUUCCUUAGCUCAGCCACAGCUUCUGACUUGGAGAUCUGUGCAUCCCUUUGUGUACUCUUUGAGGCGCCUAAAUUCGCUAAAUCUGAACUAGAGUUCUCAGCUGUCUGACAAAACAUUCCUUCUCCAGCAUCUUCUGUCUCAGGGAGAGGUGCCAUCAUCCAUUCAAUCCCCAAGCUCAAAACCUUCUCUCUCACAUCCCCCACCUAACAUCCUCUGCAAUCUACCAGGUCCUACUGACUCUGUCUCUUGACUAUCUUGACUUAUUCAUUUCUCUUUGUUUCCUGGCUCCACCCUCAUCCAAGUUGCCAUUAUCUCUGGCUUGCAAUAGCCUCUGCACUGGUCUCCCCAGUCUCUACUUGUU